GGGGAAAUUGUAACGACCGCGUCCCGCGUUCAUAAAGAGGGCAGGUUGUUUUAGGAGAAAACUAGACCAUGGUCAAGAAACGGACUAAAAUACUUAGUAGGAAGAACGAGAAAGUUCAAGCCGAACCAGCUAGGUGAGCUGGACAAGCUGGAUGAACUAGCUAGCUAAGCUAGGUGAGCUAAACCAGCUGUAAGACUAGCUAGCUCAGCUAGGUGAGCUGACCGACAGCUCGAUUGAGCUCGGUGAGCUAAUCAAGUACUGACCCAGCUGGGUGGUCCGGUCAGCUGACACUCGAGCUGGUGAACUGUGGUAGCUCACGGGUGAAGAGGUGUCUCGGCCAAAAGGUGUAAGGUCGAGCGGGUACCAACGAACGGUUGCAUCGCCCAAGGGAUGCAAGGAACAGAUGUGACCUUUCGAAAGGAUGCAAAGAACGGAUGUGACCUUUCGGAAGGGUGCAAGGACCGGAUGUGAUGCUUCGGGAAGCAUCCAUUCGCCUCCUAUAUAAGGGAGGACGCCCAAGGCAUCUCACAUCAUCUCACAACAUCCAAAACACCAUAAAACAUUCUAAAAGGAGUCCCAACACAUCCUAGAGUUGUUGGUCGGAAAGGGGGUGCGGCUCGGCGAGUAUAACUCGACCGAACUGAUGCGCAUGCUACCUCCCGGUCCAACGGUUCGAUGGAGUGUAGAGGAUGGAGAGGGUAGACCGUUCGUCUUAGAGACGAAUCGGAUCUGGUAGACCGAUCGUUGGAUCGGAUCGGCCAGACCGAUCGUCAGACGGAUCGGAUCGGCCAGACGGAUCGGACAGACCGAUCGUCGGACGGGUCAGAUGGGACAGGCCGAUCGUCUGACGGAACGGGUCGGACAGACCAAUCGUCGGAUGAGAUGGAUCGAGAAAAGUGUUCGAGGAAGCACAAGGAUAAGUGCAUCCGAACACACCCAAGGGUCGCCCAUGGAUGCAAUCUUACCGAUAAAGGGAGAAAGCACCAAGAAUGGGUAAGGAACGUGAUUCACCAUAUAGGAUCAACAUCGCGGCCGCCUUCAUGUAUCUAUCUCCUUAGCCAUGGUGAAACCGAUCAGAGAUCAGUAAGACCAAAGGGUGACUCGACGGAUAACCAACGGGAAAGUCCACGGUGGGAACCGAUGGACAAAACGGAUGUUGGACCCGCGAGCAAACCUAAGGCCGACGGAAGAAAGAUUUCAUGGGCUAGCCUAUGAUGAUCCAGUGGAUGAAUCCACGGACCCUUGGGUGUGAUAAGGAUAUCGUUCGGACCGCAUGGAUGGAUCAUUAAGCCGAAAGCUUUAUCGACCACCAUGGACUGGACGGGUAAACGAUUAGUAAACCGUGGGCGGUCGUAGUGUUAAACGACCGGAACGGAAACAUGGAUGGUUCGAUAAGCCGAGGGCUCAAUCGUCCACCAUGUAGCCGGAGGGGCGUACGUUUGGAGAACGAAUGGACCAAUAAGCCAAGAGCUUGAUUCGGCCAUCGUGAACCAAGGGAAUCGUACGAUCCCCAAUCUCUAUCGUUGUACUUAGACCAGUGGGGUUGGUUGGUUGUAUGGCUAAGUAACAAUAGGGAUUGGUUCAUCAAUUCACGACCGAUGACGAGUCGUUGAACGAAUGGAGUAAGGCGACAAACGGGCUAAGGAAUCAAAUCUGCAU
rnacentral:sRNA from 1 species